GAUGAACGCUGGCGGCGUGCCUAAUACAUGCAAGUCGAGCGAACAGACGCGGCGCUUGCUCCUCUGACGUUAGCCGCGGACGGGUGAGUAACACGUGGAUAACCUACCUAUCAGACUGGGAUAACUUCGGGACACCGGCGCUAACACCGGAUAAUAUAUUGAACCGCAUGGUUCAAUAGUGAAAUUCGGCUUUGCUGUCACUAAUCGAUGGAUCCGCGCCGCAUUAGCUAGUUGGUACGGUAACGGCUUACCAAGGCAACGAUGCGUAGCCGACCUGAGAGGGGGAUAGGCCACACUGGAACGGGGACGCGGACCAGGCUCCUACGGGAGGCAGCAGUAGGGAAUCGGCGGCAGUAGGCGAAAGCCUGACGGAGCAACGCGGAGUGAGUGAUGAAGGUCUUCGGAGCGUAAAACUCUGUUAUUAGGGAAGAACAAAUGUGUAAGUAACUAUGCACGGCUUGACGGUACCUAAUCAGAAAGCCACGGCUAACUACGUG
rnacentral:rRNA from 1 species